UAUCUACAUGUUUUUUGUUCAUUGAUUUAUUAUUUCACGUAGAAUUGCCUAAUGGAAUCAUUACUGUAGCAUAUAAUUUUCCAUGAAUACAGGCAGGAUCACGUAUUAACAUUUAACAACCACCACGAAACUACCACCCAAGUUCAUGAAUCCUGCCCGAUCUCAUUUCCUAUAUAAAUCCUACGUCCUCACCACCAUUUCUCACACACCCCCAACUCCACUCUCUCAUCAUUUUUCAUAGCCUACAAAAAUGCCUUCUUCUUCUACUACUAUCAUUUCCAAAUGCACUGUCUACCCUGAUCACAAAUCCUCUCUCAAGACCCUCAAGCUUUCUGUCUCUGAUCUCCCCAUGCUCUCCUGUCAAUACAUCCAAAAGGGUGUCCUCCUUUCUUAUCCACCUUACUCUUUCGACGACCUCAUCACAUUUCUCAAACGCUCUCUUUCCACCGCUCUUUCUUUCUUCCCUCCUCUUGCUGGCCGUCUCUCCACAGACCCUGAUGGACAUGUCCAUAUAGUUUGCAAUGAUGCAGGCAUUGAUUUCUUCCAAGCCAAAGCUACACAUCUUUUUAUCAACAACGUUCUUUCUCCUUCUGAUGUCCCUGAUUGCUUCAAGGAGUUCUUCGCUUUUGACAGAAUGCUCAGUUAUUCUGGUCACUCUAAGCCCUUAGCCGCAGUUCAGGUCACAGAGCUCGCUGAUGGUGUUUUCAUUGGCUGUACUGUAAAUCAUGCUGUUACAGAUGGAACUUCCUUUUGGCAUUUCUUCAAUAGCUUCGCUGAAUUCUGCAAAGGAGCUAAGAGAAUAUCAAAAUCUCCUGAUUUUAGCCGUGACACUGUUUUCAAUUCUCCGGCGGUGCUUAAAUUCCCUGCUGGUGGCCCAAAGCUUACCUUUUCAGGUAACGAACCAUUGCGCGAGAGAAUUUUCCACUUCAGCAGAGAAGCUAUUAUUAGGCUCAAAUACAGAGCCAAUAAUGGUAAUAUCUUAUGCAACCCCGCUGAGAUUUUGGGAAAGCAAUGCAAUGACAGUUGGAAAGUCGUUAAUGGAGACAGUAACGACAAAAUAGCGCCAAUCUCGGAGAAUUUCUUGAAGAACAAAACGGUAGAGAUUUCAUCGUUUCAAUCAUUGUGCGCACAGCUCUGGCGGUCCGUCACACGUGCGAGAAAUCUCUCCCCUUUUAAAAAGACUACGUUUCGUAUGGCUGUGAACUGCCGCCACCGGCUCGAGCCUUGGCUCCACCCGUACUACUUUGGAAACGCUAUACAGAGCAUCCCCACCAUCGCUCCUGUAGGGGAGCUGCUCUCUCAUGAUCUGCACUGGGGAGCUGAGCUUCUGCACAAAAACGUUGUCGCGCACGAUGAUGGUACCGUGCGGAAGGGCAUAACGGAUUGGGAGAGAGAACCCCGCUUAUUCCCAUUAGGGAACUUCGACGGUGCCUCAAUCACGAUGGGUAGCUCCCCGAGAUUCCCAAUGUACGAAAAUGAUUUCGGGUGGGGUCGACCUUUGGCCAUUAGGAGUGGUAGGGCGAAUAAGUUUGACGGUAAGAUAUCAGCAUUUCCAGGGAGAGAAGGGAACGGGAGCGUUGAUCUGGAGGUUGUGUUAGCACCAGAAACAAUGGAUGGGCUUGAAUUGGAUGGCGAGUUCAUGCAGUACGUAUCCACAAGCGUGUGAGUGAGUACAAUUGCAAGGUAGUAAAAGUGGAAUAGAUGUAUUUGGUAAGACUAAUCGGUGCUAGAUAGGGUUUAAGUUUUAUCAAUUAUCCUUGUUAAUGAGAAAUUUGUCAACUUUACUAUAAUCUAUUUAGUGAAAAUUGAUGAUAUAUCUUAUUUCUGAAGUAGAAAGUUUCAUUUCACCUAAACUUCAUUGUACCUCUUGAAAAUACUUGUCUAACAUGGAAAAUCUAUAAAAUGAAAUGGCAAUAUAUAAGUAGUUGGGUUGCAAUAUUAAAAUUGCUAGUCAUUUUGACGUAUAAAACAAUUUAAUCACUUAUAUAAGAACGCUCUUUCCAAAUUUAACUUGGGGUUGUGGGUGUUGUCUGUUAUCACCAUUUGGUUCAUCUCAUGUGAACAAGUCUUCUUCUGUGCAUGGAUUGCCACCCUCUGUUGCCUAUGAGAAUAAAUUUUAGUCUCUAUUUAACAAAUCAAACUUAGUUUUUCUUUAUGAAGUGUCUUUCAGGUUUAUGUUAAGAUUCAUCAUCUUCUAGUUAUUUUGCAAAUUAAGCUUAAAGUUAGUGUUUGGACAUCUUCCUUGCUGUUUAUGCCUCUAUAUUUCAUACUCACUUUUGAGCUUACUGUUUACAUAUCUCAUGGUUUGAACUUAAAUAAAACAAUUAAGCAGCUCAUUCUGACACAACUGUGGCAAGGAUGCUGGUU
rnacentral:misc_RNA from 1 species